rnacentral:rRNA from 1 species
GGACCCGCACAAGUAGUGGAGCAUGUGGUUUAAUUCGAAGAUACGCGCAGAACCUUACCAACACUUGACAUGUUCGUCGCGACUUUAAGAGAUUAAAGUUUUCGGUUCGGCCGGACGAAACACAGGUGCUGCAUGGCUGUCGUCAGCUCGUGUCGUGAGAUGUUGGGUUAAGUCCCGCAACGAGCGCAACCCUCACUUUUAGUUGCCAUCAUUAAGUUGGGCACUCUGAAAGAACUGCCAGUGAUAAGCUGGAGGAAGGUGGGGAUGACGUCAAGUCCUCAUGGCCCCUUACGUGUUGGGCUACACACGUGCUACAAUGGCAUUUACAAUAGGAAGCAAGACGGCGCGUUA